rnacentral:misc_RNA from 1 species
GAUGAAGAACGUAGCGAAAUGCGAUACUUGGUGUGAAUUGCAGAAUCCCGUGAACCAUCGAGUCUUUGAACGCAAGUUGCGCCCGAAGCCAUUAGGCCGAGGGCGCGCCUGCCUGGGCGUCACACGUCGUUGCCCCCCCAUCUACUCCUUCGGGAUUGCGGGGGGCGGAUGAUGGCCUCCCGUGCGCCUCGUCGCGCGGUUGGCAUAAAUGCCAAGUCCUCGGCGACGCACGCCACGACAAUCGGUGGUUGCGAAACCUCGGUUGCCCGUCGUGUGCGGUCGUCGCGCAUCGAGGGCUCGAAAAAAUUGCCGGGCUCCGGCUCGGCUUUCAACGCGACCCCAGGUCAGGCGGGGUUACCCGCUGAAUUUAAGCAUAUCAAUAAGCGGAGGA